CCUACGGGAGGCAGCAGUGGGGAAUAUUGGACAAUGGGGGCAACCCUGAUCCAGCCAUGCCGCGUGUGUGAAGAAGGCCCUCGGGUUGUAAAGCACUUUCAGUGAGGAAGAACGCCUGGUGGUUAAUACCCAUCAGGAAAGACAUCACUCACAGAAGAAGCACCGGCUAACUCCGUGCCAGCAGCCGCGGUAAUACGGAGGGUGCGAGCGUUAAUCGGAAUUACUGGGCGUAAAGCGCGCGUAGGUGGCUUGAUAAGCCGGUUGUGAAAGCCCCGGGCUCAACCUGGGAACGGCAUCCGGAACUGUCAAGCUAGAGUGCAGGAGAGGAAGGUAGAAUUCCCGGGGUAGCGGUGAAAUGCGUGGAGAUCGGGAGGAAUACCAGUGGCGAAGGCGGCCUUCUGGACUGACACUGACACUGAGGUGCGAAAGCGUGGGUAGCAAACAGGAUUAGAUACCCCUGUAGUC
rnacentral:rRNA from 1 species